ACCUCGCGCCUUGCCCCCACCUUCCUCCCUCCCAGCUCUCGAGCAUACCUCCCCAUGGCACUUCACCGGCUGCAGGUGGCCUCCGCGCCCCAUACCGCGCGGAUCUAGCAUGCCCUGCAACCGGCGGCCUUCCACCAAAAGCACCGGAUCCACCGACACGGGCUCUUGCACUACCGUGAAAGAAGCGGAUCCUCCCCUCGUCCUCGACCCGAGCAGCAACACGGAGGUGUUCUUGCGCCGCCCCGUGCGUACCUCCCUUCCCCAGCCCAGAUCCGCCUCCAAGGCGGCCGGAUCCGCCCGAAUGGCGCGCGGCACGGCCACUACCUACCCCCAGUGCGACCUUCUCCCUCCUCACGAGCUCAACCCCUCCCCAAAUUAUUCUCUGCGGCAGCCUACCUUGCAUGGCUUUCCUCGGCAGCCGUCGCACCAGUUCGCUAGCGCAAGGGCGCGUGCAGUUCUGCCCGCGGGGGCGAGCAGUGCACUUGGCUCGUCCCUAUGAAACAGUAGUGACCUUCUCCCUACGACGGGGCGAGGAGAUCCGGCGGUCUCCGACUGUGGUCGAGGUCGUGGCCACCACACGCGUCAACAAUAGCGAGAUUCCACCCCUUGGAUGCACUGCAGUUCAGUUUUGGUGGGCGCCACUGUCCUCUGACAGGCGUGUGUGCAGUGCGGUCCGGUGGCGGGGUAGCCACCACUGGACUCCGGCGGUCCUCUUCCCGUCACGUACAAAAAGCCAUGCCCAGGUCCAAUUUUUUCGUUGUUGUUAUCCACUGACGGCAAGCAGUGCAACUUGCUAUCAUUGCAGGUGAGUUGGGGCGUCCGUGCAGUGCGCAAGAACUUGAGGACGAUUGACACGCACUUCGGCAGGAGUUUACUUGGUGUGGACAGGAGGUUCUCCAGCUGGCUCAUGCAGCGAGCAGUGCAGGUUGCUCUUCACUGCAGGUCGGUUGGACCAUUGGUGCAGUACCCAAAUCGCUACUGUUUUUGCUGUUGCUCACACACAUCACCGGUGGUUCACCGGAGCACCCCCUCGCAGCUCUCUCCUUCCCCAACAUGCAGUUCACCGGCGACGGCCUUCCGUUCGUUUUGGUUGCUGUCGAUGCCAUCCCCACUGUAGUACAGUGUAUGUGCGUGUUUUGCGUGUUUUGCGUGGUAUCCGGCUGGGGGCCUAUGUUCCUUAACAAUGUAAAAAAUAGCAUGAAAAUGAAGUGCACUUCUGUUGUAUCCAAGUUUCAGUUCCCCCUCAAUAUGAAGGAAAUAUGUCCUAGAGGCAAUAAUAAAGUUAUUAUUUAUUUUC